GUAGGGAAUAUUGCGCAAUGGACGAAAGUCUGACGCAGCGACGCCGCGUGAGUGAUGAAGGCCUUAGGGUCGUAAAGCUCUGUUGAAUGGGAAGAAAAAAAUGACGGUACCAUUCGAGGAAGGACCGGCUAACUUCGUGCCAGCAGCCGCGGUAAUACGAGGGGUCCUAGCGUUGUGCGGAAUCAUUGGGCGUAAAGGGUGUGUAGGUGGCCAUGUAAGUCAGGUGUGAAAGCCCCGGGCUCAACCCGGGAAGUGCACUUGAUACUGGGUGGCUUGAGUACCGAAGAGGGUAGUGGAAUUCCAGGUGUAGUGGUGAAAUACGUAGAUAUCUGGAGGAACACCGGUGGCGAAGGCGGCUACCUGGUCGAGUACUGACACUGAGACACGAAAGCAUGGGGAUCAAACAGGAUUAGAAACCCGAGUAGUCC
rnacentral:rRNA from 1 species